AAUAAAAAUAAUCGCGUUGUACGUUGUUAUGCCAAACAAUUUUGUAUAAUCAUAUAAUUGUAUAAUUUUUCAAUUUUUCAUAAUUGUUAACUUAACGAGAUUAUAUUUAUUUUUCGAAUACGUAGCUUCAAACAAUAUGACAUGGAAUUGUCACGUAUUUAACAAGAACGAUAACAGUGCAGAUAUAAGAUUUGUGGGACAGUGGCUUGGAUUUGCAUAUUGGGUCGAUGCGAUAUCUUAAUCGUGGUUUACAAUAAAUGUACCUACUUAAAAGUUGCGAAUGAAUCAAUAUUCACUUAAUAUUCUAUACAUGUAUAACACUCGUGUUAUAAUCAUUCUUUGAAUGAUCGCAAAAUCACGUUUGAAUAAUUUUAAUUUUUUUUUUUUUAGGUUUAAUAUAUCUCUGAUCAUUUCUAAAAUUUUUUAAAAAUAAAUCCACGAAAAUGAAAUGAACGAGUACACAUGCACUUGAUAUUACUUAUCGACACGUGGCUAUUAUCGAGCAAAAAAAAAAAAGUGUAAUCAUCGUAUCACCGAUAAUAAUCAUUAAAACUAUAAAAAUGAAUUACUGAAUUUCGAUUGUUUACUAUCGAUAAUUAUAUAUUUACUAGUCAGAUGGUUAAUGUGAUUUCAAUGAUGUAUGAAAUAUUUAUCUCGAAGAAUACUUUGAAACAAGAAUACCGCAUGAUGUCGAUCAAAACGAUGUCAAGAAUAUCCUGCGGUAAUCGUAAGUCACUUUAUUCAAAUGAAUCGAAACUAGUAUUUAUUGAACGUGCUAUAUAAGGUGCACUUAAAAAAAACAUAUGUGUCAAAUCAUUUGAAUUUCUAAGGCGAGAAGGUGUGACUAUCGUUAAUGCGACAAUAAUUAUGACGUGCAAAGUUGAAUCCGUGAAUCAAUGGUGUUAAUGCGCAAACACUUAUCAAAGCGAAGUUAAGUUGUUGGGAAUGUACUGUGUAACAUAUGUUAUUUUUAUAAUUUUGUGUUCAAUUUUUUGAACGCGUUGUAUGAAUAAAAUAAAUAAGUUAUUUAAUAACAAUAACAGUAAUUUUUUACUGUAUCAUAUAAUAAUUACUAAAUGAUCGGAUCAAUUUUGUUUAAUUUUUGAAGAAAAGAAGAAGAGACUUUACACAAAGAAAUCGUUUUAAAACAUUCGAUAUUUAUAUUUCCAAGAAACGAUUGACGAGAACUUCUAGAGACCUUGAUCGCAAUCAAGAAAGAUGCGUGCAUGCAUUUUUCUUUCAAUCAUCAAUGAUAGGAAUUCGCCUCAGGAUUCGCAUACGCACUGUGUUACAAUGACAUUCCUUGAAGAUUCGAACCAUAAUUUCCGUGCAGUGACAGAAGAACAGGUUCUUUCAUUCUUUCUCUUAGUUUCU